UACGAAGGGGGCUAGCGUUGCUCGGAAUCACUGGGCGUAAAGCGCACGUAGGCGGCUUUCUAAGUCAGGGGUGAAAUCCUGGAGCUCAACUCCAGAACUGCCUUUGAUACUGUAGAGCUUGAGUCCGGGAGAGGUGAGUGGAACUCCGAGUGUAGAGGUGAAAUUCGUAGAUAUUCGGAAGAACACCAGUGGCGAAGGCGGCUCACUGGCCCGGUACUGACGCUGAUGUGCGAAAGCGUGGGGAGCAAACAGG
rnacentral:rRNA from 1 species